CGACGCCGCGUGAGGGAUGACGGCCUCGGUUGUAAACUCUUUCACCCAUGACGAAGCGCAAGUGACGGUAGUGGGAGAAGAAGCACCGGCCAACUACGUGCC
rnacentral:rRNA from 1 species